ensembl:lncRNA
UUCAGGGAUGGGACAUCCACAACCUCUCAGGGCAACCUAUGCUAGUGCCUUCACCGAUGUGUUGGUGAAUAAGUUUGUGGGAGAGGAAGUACACAGCCCAGUAACAGAAUGGACAUACAAUGCUGCGUGGGGUGGGGAAGGGCUCAGAGGUCACUCAGAGGAAUGUGGGCAGACUGGGAAACAAAACCUGACCUGAGAUAUCUGGGAGAAAGGAAUACGAUCCCUCCUCUCAUCAGCAGAAAGCACAAACCUAGGAGGAGUUAACAGGAGCCAGAUGUUCCUGUUAAUUUAUCAAAUAACUUCAAUACAGUAAUCAACUGCAGUUGAGCAGACUGUAGCGGAGUGUUGAUUUGCUAAGCUUGAAGGAAUGGCGUCAAGUUCUCAGAAAGCAUUUCUUUAAAAUGAGCAUUUUGACCUCCUGCUUGUGACCUCCAUUUUGGCAGUGUGAGGCCUUCAAACCCUUUCUCAGUCCUCAGGCCCCUCAUGAAAGCUUGCAGGCCUACAUGGUUGCGGUGAUAAAAAGGUACAUUCAGUUUGGGAUGACACCCUUCCGACCAUGCAUUUCUACACAGGGACAUGGCAUUGGCCUGGGCCAACCAGCUCUACUUGCUCUCAGUCAGAUGUUCUUAGUCUCUGACUUUUAGAAGAAAUUUUCGACAUUUUUGCCUCCUCCUUCAGUUUCCCAACCUCUUCCCCCUGAAGCAGCAGCCAACAGAAUUUGUCAGAGUCAACUUUCUGGUUCAGGUAAACUAACUGCAAAUGUGGUGGUCUCACCUGGCUCAGUGCAGAGGGAGCCAUUUUCUGGAGCUUUUAUUUCUGUAUAUUUUCUUCUCUUGCACUGUAAAUUCAGGUGGUUAUUUCAAUUCUGUCAGCAGAAUCAGUUUCUGAUAGGAUUCUUGCUUGCUGUUAGUUAUUCUCAGGAUUCUGCAUUCCUCUGCUGACAUGAUUUGCUCCUUUGCUCUCUGGACCCCAUCCAAAGCCUGUUGAAGCCAAAGAGAACUUUUCCAUUCACUGCAGUAGUAUCUGUAGUAUAUUUCAGAUCGUAUCUGCCCUAUCCCACUCACCUCACCUUAUUCUCAUGGGUUUUCAGUGAUGGUAUUGCUCCUGGAGGAAUGGUUCAGCUGGCUGCAUUUUUGGGGCCCAACCAAGCCCUGCUGUUCUUGGGAUAUCUGCUUCCCUUGGGGCAGGUGGAAGUGCUCCAGACAGGUCACAGGCACCCACACCUGGCUGGGAUGGGAUGGGAAGCAUGUUGAGGACAAGAUCCCAGGAAAGCUUCCACUGUUGAGACUUUGCAGCUUUUCCUAAGGAUGUGCAGCGUGGUUUUUCAGACCAGAUUUGUGCCUGGGUGGCAGGCAGCCCAGAGCUGAUGGGGCUGGUAUUGGCAUCUCCAGCUGGGUCACAUAUCCAGCUGGGAGGGCAGGAAGGAAGAGAGCCUUACAGGAAAAAUUACCAAGAAUUUUAAUGCUGGAAAAGCAGAUUGUCCACAGUCCCAUCUCUGUCAAAAAGUAAAAAAAAAAAAAAAAAAAAAAAAAAAGAGGAAGAGCAGCUUUCUUUUUUCCCCUCCAGAAAGAAGAAAUUUUCAGCCCGUAGCAGACAGAACAGGAAUGUACAGCCUGAAGGGACAAGAGCUGCCAUCCAUUUGAGUAUUUCACCGUGGUAUCUCAUAAUGAGAAUCUUGGGCAGUGUUAAUAAUAUCAGCUCUGCUUGGGCAACCUGUCAGAGAGAUUGGAUGUCAGCUGCAGAGUAAAACACAGCUCCAGCCUAAUUGUGGUCCUCUGGGAGGAGCCUCAUGAAUAUGGAUAAAAAGCUGUAAAGUAUCCUGUGACACCUUGCUGAUUCUUCAAAAUGCAGAUAAUGGUAUGGACACAGUGAAGAGUGAUAAAACGUGUGAUUUCUUUGAAGAGGGAGAAACUUGUGAAUGUCUGAGCUGAGUUGGGCACACAAAAUGAUGUGAGAGUUUUCUACUGAAUAGUAAUAUUCUUUUCCCAGUCUCAUUUACAGUGUCUCCAUGAUGUUUCCAAGAUAUUUUUCUAAAUUUCCUGUGCCAGACUCACAGGUUUGCUGAUUAAAUAUUGGGUUGUGCAUGGGAGCACUUUAAAGUGUCUGUGUAAACCAAAAAUAAAAUGCUUUUGU